rnacentral:lncRNA from 1 species
UAAAUCGGCGUUUUGCAUUUGCCCCGAUCAGCAUUUCAUUUGCGCUGAUUUUUUCUUUCAUUUGCGCCGAUUUUGUUUUUCAUUUGCGCCGAUUUUUUUUACAGGUAAACUACAGGUUAAUUACAGGUGAAUAGAUAUAAGAAGAUGUGGUAUGAGUGCAAAUAAGACAACCCUCCAUCCAAGUCAUGUUAUUUUUCAUUUAC